rnacentral:pre_miRNA from 1 species
AGCUUCCUGGAUCCAUGCAGAGAUUUCUUCAGACACCGACCCAUUACGACUGACCAGACUUCCAAGAUAAUUGAAGUU